rnacentral:rRNA from 1 species
UACGUAGGGUGCAAGCGUUGUCCGGAAUGACUGGGCGUAAAGGGCGCGUAGGCGGUUUGGACAGUCAGAUGUGAAAUUCCUGGGCUCAACCUGGGGGCUGCAUUUGAUACGUUCGGACUAGAGUGGGGAAGAGGGUCGUGGAAUUCCCAGUGUAGAGGUGAAAUUCGUAGAUAUUGGGAAGAACACCGGUGGCGAAGGCGGCGACCUGGUCCUUGACUGACGCUGAGGCGCGAAAGCGUGGGGAGCAAACAGG